AAAAUUAAAGUAAAUUCCCUUCAUAUAUCCUUGAUAAUAAGGUUCAAGAGUUUCUACCGGGCCGCCGUAAAUGGCCUGACUAUGAAGGCAGAACCAUUGGAU
rnacentral:ncRNA from 1 species